rnacentral:rRNA from 1 species
AGUGAACGCUGGCGGUAGGCCUAACACAUGCAAGUCGAACGGCAGCACAGUAAGAGCUUGCUCUUACGGGUGGCGAGUGGCGGACGGGUGAGGAAUACAUCGGAAUCUACUUUUUCGUGGGGGAUACGGAGGGGAAACUUCCCCUAAACCCGCAUCCGCCCUCCGGUUAAAAGCAGGGGAUCUUCGGCCUUUGCGCGAUUGAUGGACCCGAUGUCGGAUUAGCUAGUUGGCGGGGUAAAGGCCCACCAAGGCGACGAUCCGUAGCUGGUCUGAGAGGAUGAUCAGCCACACUGGAACUGAGACACGGUCCAGACUCCUACGGGAGGCAGCAGUGGGGAAUAUUGGACAAUGGGCGCAAGCCUGAUCCAGCCAUACCGCGUGGGUGAAGAAGGCCUUCGGGUUGUAAAGCCCUUUUGUUGGGAAAGAAAAGCAGCAGGUUAAUACCCCGCUGUUCUGACGGUACCCAAAGAAUAAGCACCGGCUAACUUCGUG